UACGAAGGGGGCUAGCGUUGCUCGGAAUUACUGGGCGUAAAGCGAGUGUAGGUGGUUGUCACAGUCAGGUGUGAAAGCCUUGAGCUCAACUCAAGAAAUGCACUUGAUACUGGGCGACUAGAGGACCGGAGAGGAUAGUGGAAUUCCCAGUGUAGUGGUGAAAUACGUAGAGAUUGGGAAGAACACCAGUGGCGAAGGCGGCUAUCUGGACGGUUUCUGACACUAAGACUCGAAAGCGUGGGGAGCAAACAGG
rnacentral:rRNA from 1 species